UAACAAACACAGGGGUGCCAUUUAUGGCUGAAAGGACACUGGGUCCAACCCUUAUUACCUGAUCUAGACAAUACUAGCGUAGGGAGUGUCAAGAUGAAAAAA
rnacentral:ncRNA from 2 species